rnacentral:rRNA from 1 species
CAUGAUUUAGCCAGUACCCCCAAGCAAAGAGACCUUUAGUUUGAUACCCCGAAACCAGGUGAGCUACCCCGAGACAGCCUAUGUUAAUUUAGGGCUAACCCGUCUCUGUGGCAAAAGAGUGGGAAGAGCUCCGGGUAGAAGUGAAAGACCUACCGAACCUGGUGAUAGCUGGUUGACUGAGAAAUGGAUAGAAGUUCAGCCUCGCACACCCCAAACCAAAAAUAUUAUCACCAAGAUAUUUAGGGAAAAGUGCGAGAGUUAGUUGAAAGGGGUACAGCCCUUUUAACAAAGGAUACAACCUUAACAGGAGGAUAAAGAUCAUAAUAUAUAAGAUAUGCUGUUCUAGUGGGCCUGAAAGCAGCCACCUAAACAGAAAGCGUUAAAGCUCGGACAGAAAGAAGUUUAUUAUACAGAUAAGAAAUCUUAUUCCCCUAACUAUAUUAGACCAACCCAUGCCCCCAUGGAAGAGAUUAUGCUAAAAUGAGUAAUAAGAAGACCCGCUCUUCUCCCAGCACAAGUGUAAACCAGAUCGGACUAACCACUGGAACUUAACGAACCCAACCCAAGAGGGUAGUGUGACUAACAAAAAACUCAAGAAGGCCUCACACUAACUAAUCGUUAACCCCACACUGGAGUGCUAUUUUAAGGGAAAGACUAAAAGAAGGGGAAGGAACUCGGCAAACACAAGCCUCGCCUGUUUACCAAAAACAUCGCCUCCUGCAACUAAACUGAGUAUAGGAGGUCCAGCCUGCCCAGUGACUACGGGUUCAACGGCCGCGGUAUCUUGACCGUGCAAAGGUAGCGCAAUCACUUGUCUCUUAAAUAGAGACCUGUAUGAAUGGCUAGACGAGGGCUUAACUGUCUCCCCCCUCCAGUCAGUGAAAUUGAUCUAUCCGUGCAGAAGCGGGUAUAAAUAUACAAGACGAGAAGACCCUUUGGAGCUUAAGGUACAAAAUACAACCACGUUAAACAACUCCAUAAAAAGCAAGAACUUAGUGGUAAUGAAUUUUUACCUUCGGUUGGGGCGACCGCGGAGGAAAAACAAGCCUCCGAGUGGACUGGGCCAAUCCCUGAAGCCGAUAGAGACAUCUAUGAGCCGCAGAACAUCUGACCAAAAAUGAUCCGGCUAAAAAGCCGACCAACGGACCAAGUUACCCAAGGGAUAACAGCGCAAUCCCCUCCCAGAGCCCAUAUCUACGAGGGGGUUUACGACCUCGAUGUUGGAUCAGGACAUCCUAAUGGUGCAGCCGCUAUUAAGGGUUCGUUUGUUCAACGAUUAAAGUCC